CCUACGGGUGGCUGCAGUGGGGAAUAUUGGACAAUGGGCGAAAGCCUGAUCCAGCCACGCCGCGUGAGUGAUGAAGGCCUUCGGGUUGUAAAGCUCUGUGGGGAGGGACGAAAAAGGUGGAUAAGACAACGAUCCGCCCUUGACGGUACCUCCUUAGCAAGCACCGGCUAACUCUGUGCCAGCAGCCGCGGUAAGACAGAGGGUGCGAACGUUGCUCGGAAUUACUGGGCGUAAAGCGCGUGUAGGCGGGUGAUCAAGUCAGGUGUGAAAUCCCU
rnacentral:rRNA from 1 species